rnacentral:miRNA from 1 species
UUGUAGAGUCAUGCACCUCUA